UUCUGCACCAUCAGCGGUGCACGAAGAAUUUCUCAGAAUCAGAAUAAGAAUGGGUGGCUUCCAUUUCAAUCGUUUAGUUCGAAAGAGUCUCAUUCCGAUUCUAAUUUCAUAGUGGAAUGGGAAUGGCCCAAUCUACACAGAAUUUAGAGGGUGUUUAGUUCGCAACCGGAAUCAAAAUAGAAACAAAAAUCAAAAUGACUUGGAAUC
rnacentral:lncRNA from 1 species